rnacentral:rRNA from 1 species
CCCUUAGAUGUUCUGGGCCGCACGCGCGCUACACUGUUCGACGCAGCGAGUCUUAACCUUGACCGAAAGGUUUGGGUAAUCUUCAGCAAAGUCGAACGUGAUGGGGAUCGAUCAUUGCAAUUAUUGAUCGUGAACGAGGAAUUCCUAGUACGUGCAAGUCAUCAGCUUGCGCUGAUUACGUCCCUGCCCUUUGUACACACCGCCCGUCGCUACUACCGAUUGAAUGGUUUAGUGAGAUCUCUGGAUUGACGCUGGCUAGGGGGCGACCCUUGGCCAGGCUGUCGAGAAACUGCUCAAACUUGAUCAUUUAGAGGAAGUAAAAGUCGUAACA